rnacentral:rRNA from 1 species
UACGGGGGGGAGCAAGCGUUGUUCGGAUUUACUGGGCGUAAAGGGCGCGUAGGCGGUCGUGACAAGUCACUUGUGAAAUCUCCGGGCUUAACUCGGAACGGUCAAGUGAUACUGUCGGACUAGAGUACAGAAGGGGCAACUGGAAUUCUCGGUGUAGCGGUGAAAUGCGUAGAUAUCGAGAGGAACACCUGCGGCGAAGGCGGGUUGCUGGGCCGACACUGACGCUGAGGCGCGAAAGCUAGGGGAGCGAACGGG